AGUUAAAUAUUAUCUCACUUGAGCUUUGCCUUCGAUUCCUCGUUUUGCAGCUCUCGUGACUCCCAGUGGUUUUGGUCAGAGACCCUGGCCAUUUUCAUUCUCUUUAAAAACAGCUUCUGGGCAUCAUGACAGCGUGUUUGGAAACACUGUGGCAUAUCUGUGGUGAUUAAACUUCACGGAAACAUCUGGAUUCCAGGCUCCCACAAGCCUGGGUGGCUCCCGUGCAACCCCCCACUUAGGCCCUGGUUGAAGGAAUCUCAAGUGUGUGCCACCAUAGCCAGUGUAUGUGCUUCUGAGGAUUAAACCUAGGGCUCUGUGGCCGCUGGACAAGGACUCUACCAACUGAACUACAUUACCAGGGAUGUGGAGGUUGACUGCAAACACAAGGUAUGUUUGAUGAAAAGGCUUUCAGGUCUGGAUCCUGCCCUGUGAUUUGAGGACAGUUCCCAGGAGAGUGCCGACUGUAUUGUGCAGUGGAGUUGCCUAGGAUGACCGGGAGAGUUUCCUGUGAUGGACAGGCAGUGUCCAGGAAGUGGCAGGUAAGUUGAUCUACAUCGAUAAGGACAUGCACAUCAUGGUGCCAUAGGAUUCAGAGUGAGGAUCUUUCCUGAACACAUCUCAGUGCAAGCAUCUUGUGGUGCCCUCAGCAGGGCAUCAUCUUGGCAUACACUGAAGUGCUCUAACAGAGCUUUUGAAGUGGAAGCAACAAAAAUGGAACACAGGGAGAGUAGGGCCAUAGCUACUCUUCUGUCCAGUCUUGUUAUCAUUGCAGUGUUUGUGCCAACAAAGGAAUGCUAAAAUACAUAGCCCCUUUUGCUAACUGAACACACUCCAGGGGUCUAGAUUUUCUCCAUAAAUUUGUCUGUGUUUUCAGAGAUGGUGGCCCAUGCCCUGGUCUCUGGAUUCUGCAGGGGAGCCCUGUGCUGCAGGGAGGUGCAGUCUGUGGUCACCCCUGUCCAUAUCAGUGAGGCUACACAUCAAGAGGCAGAAGCUGUGUGCACAAUAGCUUUAUUUCCUCUCACACCUGGAACUCCCCAGAGCUGCUGAAAAGCAGAGGUGCAGUGGUCUCUGCAUCAUUAUCAUGGACUGAGGCUACAUGUCUGUAGGACCAAGCGUAUCCUAAGGAUUCAACAGGUAUUGGCGAUUCUUAGCAAUAGUAAGCUUACAUCCAGAGCCAGAUGGAGUCAGAGUACUCCAAUGUCCUCUCUUCAGUCUGGGGACAACUGAAUAGACUCUGGACUGGAGCCAAAUGUUCUCCAUAAAACAGUCGAAGGCCAAAUGGUCCCUGAGGUCUCUGCUCACCUAGCAGCAACUGGUCUGUGCAUUCCCUUUCCACACACAUUUGCUGAGCCUCAGCUACGUGUGUGGCCCAGAUCCAACCUGUGACCUCAAGAAUCCAGGGUGCAGUGCCCAGGUGGCCGCAAAGACAGCAUUACAUCACGAAACCUCCUCUGUGAUGCCUCCCCAUCUGCCUACGAUACAGUUGGCCAGUUAUGAAGGGCAUGUCGAGUGCCAGAGUAUGGAAUUUGGAGUUAGUUAAGUGUG